GACGAACGCUGGCGGCGUGCCUAAUACAUGCAAGUCGAACGAAACUUUCUUACACCGAAUGCUUGCAUUCACCGUAAGAAGUUGAGUGGCGGACGGGUGAGUAACACGUGGGUAACCUGCCUAAAAGAAGGGGAUAACACUUGGAAACAGGUGCUAAUACCGUAUAUUUCUAAGGAUCGCAUGAUCCUUAGAUGAAAGAUGGUUCUGCUAUCGCUUUUAGAUGGACCUGCGGCGUAUUAACUAGUUGGUGGGGUAACGGCCUACCAAGGUGAUGAUACGUAGCCGAACUGAGAGGUUGAUCGGCCACAUUGGGACUGAGACACGGCCCAAACUCCUACGGGAGGCAGCAGUAGGGAAUCUUCCACAAUGGACGCAAGUCUGAUGGAGCAACGCCGCGUGAGUGAAGAAGGUCUUCGGAUCGUAAAACUCUGUUGUUAGAGAAGAACACGAGUGAGAGUAACUGUUCAUUCGAUGACGGUAUCUAACCAGCAAGUCACGGCUAACUACGUGCCAGCAGCCGCGGUAAUACGUAGGUGGCAAGCGUUGUCCGGAUUUAUUGGGCGUAAAGGGAACGCAGGCGGUCUUUUAAGUCUGAUGUGAAAGCCUUCGGCUUAACCGGAGUAGUGCAUUGGAAACUGGAAGACUUGAGUGCAGAAGAGGAGAGUGGAACUCCAUGUGUAGCGGUGAAAUGCGUAGAUAUAUGGAAGAACACCAGUGGCGAAAUCGGCUCUCUGGUCUGUAACUGACGCUGAGGUUCGAAAGCGUGGGUAGCAAACAGGAUUAGAUACCCUGGUAGUCCACGCCGUAAACGAUGAAUGCUAGGUGUUGGAGGGUUUCCGCCCUUCAGUGCCGCAGCUAACGCAAUAAGCAUUCCGCCUGGGGAGUACGACCGCAAGGUUGAAACUCAAAGGAAUUGACGGGGGCCCGCACAAGCGGUGGAGCAUGUGGUUUAAUUCGAAGCAACGCGAAGAACCUUACCAGGUCUUGACAUCCUUUGACCACCUAAGAGAUUAGGCUUUCCCUUCGGGGACAAAGUGACAGGUGGUGCAUGGCUGUCGUCAGCUCGUGUCGUGAGAUGUUGGGUUAAGUCCCGCAACGAGCGCAACCCUUGUUGUCAGUUGCCAGCAUUAAGUUGGGCACUCUGGCGAGACUGCCGGUGACAAACCGGAGGAAGGUGGGGACGACGUCAAGUCAUCAUGCCCCUUAUGACCUGGGCUACACACGUGCUACAAUGGACGGUACAACGAGUCGCGAGACCGCGAGGUUUAGCUAAUCUCUUAAAGCCGUUCUCAGUUCGGAUUGUAGGCUGCAACUCGCCUACAUGAAGUCGGAAUCGCUAGUAAUCGCGAAUCAGCAUGUCGCGGUGAAUACGUUCCCGGGCCUUGUACACACCGCCCGUCACACCAUGAGAGUUUGUAACACCCAAAGCCGGUGGGGUGACCGCAAGGAGCCAGCCGUCUAAGGUGGGACAGAUGAUUGGGGUG
rnacentral:rRNA from 2 species